rnacentral:tRNA from 2 species
GCCGAGGUGGCGAAAUUGGCAGACGCACUAGACUUAGGAUCUAGCGCCGCGAGGCGUGCAGGUUCGAUUCCUGUCCUCGGCACCA